UUUUUUUAAUGCAUCCCCCUGCUUCUUAAUCUGAUGCUCAGAAGACAUCUGACCCUCGGCACCAGUCCCUUCGUGCCAGGCAUGCUCGGAGGCCAGGGGAGAUGGAGGCACUGCUGCUCCUGCCCUGGAGUCUCAGAGAGGCAGGAGCCUCGCAGGACAGUGUGCUGGGCUGAGGACAGAGCCCAGCUGGGGACUCGGGGUAACCAGGCUCUGUCCACAUUUCCCCCAUCACACAUCUUCCCCCAUCACCGCCUUCAUCUCCUUUCCCUUCCCUAUUAACUUCAGGAAACGGCGCUGGUAAAACACCCAGGCAGCAGCGGCGAGAGGCCUCGGCGAGCACCUCGCAGCCGGCUGGGGAAGCUCGGUCAGCAGCAAGCUCAACCCUCCUCCUGAGCAUUUGAAUUAACGGAGGGCACCAGCUUCCCCCUGCUUAGACAUUGCAGUAGGUGCAGAGGAAGAAACAGGACCAUGAUACAGAGCCUGUCCACCCAUUUGCCCCAGGGCAGCAGCGAAAAACUGCUUUUAUGCAGCAAUUUCCAUUCACGCAGCUUCAAGUGUUUCACGUCUUCACCUCAAUCCUCAGAGGGAAAUGGGCGCUGAGAGCUCAUUUGCCUCAGAAUCACCCUGCAGGUGAGGGCAGAGCUGCUGGACCAGGCUUCCCAAAGCAGCUGCCCAAAGGGAUGCUGCUCCUCUCCCCGUGAGACUCGGCCCCGGAGCUGAGCUGGGCUGAGGAAGAGGAAGGUCCCACCAGGCAGGGUCCUCCUUACUCCUCCUGGAACACGGGAGAAGCACGGCAAUAUUUUCUGAGUGCUAAAGGCUUAGGAAAACCUUCUUUACAUUUGACUUGAAAGACAGAAGAGAUGUAACAGCCUGAAGCCCACGGUUUGCUUUAGCACUUAUAGAGAAAAUUCCUUAAAAAUA